rnacentral:rRNA from 1 species
CCUACGGGUGGCAGCAGUGAGGAAUAUUGGUCAAUGGGCGCGAGCCUGAACCAGCCAUGCCGCGUGCAGGAAGACGGCUCUAUGAGUUGUAAACUGCUUUUGUACGAGGGUAAACGCAGAUACGCGUAUCUGUCUGAAAGUAUCGUACGAAUAAGGAUCGGCUAACUCCGUGCCAGCAGCCGCGGUAAUACGGAGGAUUCAAGCGUUAUCCGGAUUUGUUGGGUUUAAAGGGUGCGUAGGCGGGCAUUUAAGCCGGCGGUCAAAUGUCGGGGCUCAACCCCGGCCUGCCGUCGGAACUGGGUGCCUUGAGUGGGCGAGAAGUAUGCGGAAUGCGUGGUGUAGCGGUGAAAUGCAUAGAUAUCACGCAGAACCCCGAUUGCGAAGGCAGCAUACCGGCGCCCUACUGACGCUGAGGCACGAAAGUGCGGGUAUCGAACAGGAUUAGAUACCCGAGUAGUC